GAUGAACGCUGGCGGCGUGCCUAAUACAUGCAAGUCGAGCGAACAGACGAGGAGCUUGCUCCUCUGACGUUAGCGGCGGACGGGUGAGUAACACGUGGAUAACCUACCUAUAAGACUGGGAUAACUUCGGGAAACCGGAGCUAAUACCGGAUAAUAUAUUGAACCGCAUGGUUCAAUAGUGAAAGACGGUUUUGCUGUCACUUAUAGAUGGAUCCGCGCCGCAUUAGCUAGUUGGUAAGGUAACGGCUUACCAAGGCAACGAUGCGUAGCCGACCUGAGAGGGUGAUCGCCCACACUGGAACUGAGACACGGUCCAGACUCCUACGGGAGGCAGCAGUAGGGAAUCUUCCGCAAUGGGCGAAAGCCUGACGGAGCAACGCCGCGUGAGUGAUGAAGGUCUUCGGAUCGUAAAGCUCUGUUAUUAGGGAAGAACAAAUGUGUAAGUAACUAUGCACGUCUUGACGGUACCUAAUCAGAAAGCCACGGCUAACUACGUG
rnacentral:rRNA from 1 species